rnacentral:lncRNA from 1 species
UCAGACACUUUUAAAACUGAAGGGAGGACAAGGAGGAAGAUGAGAUAGUGGAAGAAGGAGGAGAACUCACUUCUCUUUGAUUUUUCUUUCACCUAAAACCCUAGAUCUGAUCUAGGUUUCUCACCCAAGAGGAGAAGGAUCUCCUCUAUGUACAUAUGCCAAAAUAGGCCGUCCCACUCCAAACCUCAUGCCCAAGGAAACCCUAACUCACAGCACAAUCUGAUCUUUUUUUUUUUGUACAAAAUGGAGGGGUUUUUAUAGAUGGCGUGGAGAUGAGGAUAGAGUC